rnacentral:rRNA from 1 species
UACGUAGGGUGCAAGCGUUGAUCGGAAUUACUGGGCGUAAAGCGUGCGCAGGCGGUUAUGUGAGGCAGAGGUGAAAACCCCGGGCUCAACCUCGGAACUGCCUUUGUGACUGCAUAGCUGGAGUACGGCAGAGGGGGAUGGAAUUCCGCGUGUAGCAGUGAAAUGCGUAGAUAUGCGGAGGAACACCGAUGGCGAAGGCAAUACCCUGGGCCUGUACUGACGCUCAUGCACGAAAGCGUGGGGAGCAAACAGG